rnacentral:misc_RNA from 1 species
CUAAGGAUAUAUUCGGAACAUCUUCCUUGAGAAGAUGAAGAGGAAUGACAUUGACAUAUUGCAUUCAGUUUUGAAUGCUCAUUAGGAGUAUUCAUUGCGUUAUUUUGUACAUUGAAAACUAGAUAUGUAAGUAAAAUUUAUGAUUUUACCAAGCAAAACCGAGUGAAUUAGAGUUUUAAAAAGCUUGAAUUCAAAAAAUAGAAAUAAUCGCUAGUGUUCGAAAGAACACUCACAGAUUAAUAACAUUUUAGGUUUUCAACCGAUUUUAUCGUGUUGAAGGUCGAAAA